UACGAAGGGUGCAAGCGUUACUCGGAAUUACUGGGCGUAAAGGGCGCGUAGGCGGCGACUCAAGUUAGAUGUGAAAGUCCUGGGCUUAACCUGGGGACUGCAUUUGAUACUGGGUUGCUUGAAUUCGGGAGAGGAUAGCGGAAUUCCCAGUGUAGAGGUGAAAUUCGUAGAUAUUGGGAAGAACACCGGUGGCGAAGGCGGCUAUCUGGACCGACAUUGACGCUGAGGCGCGAAAGCGUGGGGAGCAAACAGGG
rnacentral:rRNA from 1 species